rnacentral:lncRNA from 1 species
GCGCGGUCCGCUUGCCGCCGGCCGAGUGUCGCUCUCCGAGCGUGGGUCUCCGUCCGCCUCGUCCUCGAGGCUCUGGGAAGGAAGAUCAAUGCACCAUGUGAAGGUGGCGACUUCACCAGUCGUCUGGAACGCUCCUGUGUAUGGAAAGUAAAUAUACGUCUUACAGAAAAACACCAGUUCAUUGAAUGCUCUAACACAUCUUUCUGCUUACAUAAAUAAAAAGAGGAACUACGCCGCAUCUGAAACUAAACGGUGAGGAAAAAAUGUGAUUCUGGAGAAUUUUCUCUGAUCUUAAAU